AUUGAACGCUGGCGGCAUGCCUUACACAUGCAAGUCGAACGGCAGCACGGGUGCUUGCACCUGGUGGCGAGUGGCGAACGGGUGAGUAAUAUAUCGGAACGUACCUUAUUGUGGGGGAUAACGCAGCGAAAGCUGUGCUAAUACCGCAUAAUCCCUAAGGGGGAAAGCGGGGGACCGUAAGGCCUCGCGCAAUUAGAGCGGCCGAUACCUGAUUAGCUAGUUGGUGAGGUAAAGGCUCACCAAGGCAACGAUCAGUAGCUGGUCUGAGAGGACGAUCAGCCACGCUGGGACUGAGAGACGGCCCAGACUCCUACGGGAGGCAGCAGUGGGGAAUUUUGGACAAUGGGGGCAGACCUGAUCCAGCAAUGCCGCGUGAGUGAAGAAGGCCUUCGGGUUGUAAAGCGCUUUUGUCAGGGAAGAAACAGCAGCUCUAACACAGUUUGCGAAUGACGGUACCUGAAGAAUAAGCACCGGCUAACUACGUGCCAGCCGCCGCGGUAA
rnacentral:rRNA from 1 species